rnacentral:rRNA from 1 species
AUAUGAAGGCUUUGGCUUCGCGGCCGGCUGAAAUAUUUUUUUCACCCAUGUCUUUUGCGCACUUGUUGUUUCCUGGGCGGGUUCGCCCGCCACCAGGACCAAACCAUAAACCUUUUUUUUAAUGCAGUUGCAAUCAGCGUCAGUAAAAAACAAUGUAAUUAUUACAACUUUCAACAACGGAUCUCUUGGUUCUGGCAUCGAUGAAGAACGCAGCGAAAUGCGAUACGUAGUGUGAAUUGCAGAAUUCAGUGAAUCAUCGAAUCUUUGAACGCACAUUGCGCCCUUUGGUAUUCCAAAGGGCAUGCCUGUUCGAGCGUCAUUUGUACCUUCAAGCUUUGCUUGGUGUUGGGCGUUUUUUGUCUCCCUCUUGCUGGGAGACUCGCCUUAAAACGAUUGGCAGCCGGCCUACUGGUUUCGGAGCGCAGCACAUAUUUUGCACUCUGUGUCAGGAGAAAAGGACGGUAAUCCAUCAAGACUCUACAAAUUUUAACUUUUGACCUCGGAUCAGGUAGGGAUACCCGCUGAACUUAAG